rnacentral:rRNA from 1 species
AGAGUUUGAUCCUGGCUCAGGAUGAACGCUAGCGGCAGGCCUAACACAUGCAAGUCGAGGGGCAUCGGGAUUGAAGCUUGCUUCAAUUGCCGGCGACCGGCGCACGGGUGCGUAACGCGUAUGUAACCUACCUAUAACAGGGGCAUAACACUGAGAAAUUGGUACUAAUUCCCCAUAAUAUUCGGAGAGGCAUCUCUCCGGGUUGAAAACUCCGGUGGUUAUAGAUGGACAUGCGUUGUAUUAGCUAGUUGGUGAGGUAACGGCUCACCAAGGCAACGAUACAUAGGGGGACUGAGAGGUUAACCCCCCACACUGGUACUGAGACACGGACCAGACUCCUACGGGAGGCAGCAGUGAGGAAUAUUGGUCAAUGGACGCAAGUCUGAACCAGCCAUGCCGCGUGCAGGAAGACGGCUCUAUGAGUUGUAAACUGCUUUUGUACUAGGGUAAUUUGCGGUACGUGUACCGUAUUGAAAGUAUAGUACGAAUAAGGAUCGGCUAACUCCGUGCCAGCAGCCGCGGUAAUACGGAGGAUCCAAGCGUUAUCCGGAUUUAUUGGGUUUAAAGGGUGCGUAGGCGGUUUGAUAAGUUAGAGGUGAAAUCCCGGGGCUUAACUCCGGAACUGCCUCUAAUACUGUUAGACUAGAGAGUAGUUGCGGUAGGCGGAAUGUAUGGUGUAGCGGUGAAAUGCUUAGAGAUCAUACAGAACACCGAUUGCGAAGGCAGCUUACCAAACUAUAUCUGACGUUGAGGCACGAAAGCGUGGGGAGCAAACAGGAUUAGAUACCCUGGUAGUCCACGCAGUAAACGAUGAUAACUCGUUGUCGGCGAUAUACAGUCGGUGACCAAGCGAAAGCGAUAAGUUAUCCACCUGGGGAGUACGUUCGCAAGAAUGAAACUCAAAGGAAUUGACGGGGGCCCGCACAAGCGGAGGAACAUGUG